rnacentral:rRNA from 1 species
CGUUCAGGGGUAAACCUGUGAAACUCGAAUGAACGAACGGGGAGAUUCAUCGUCAUUCGGAGGGCGGCGCUGGCGUCGCACGAUGGAUAGCCCUCCGGCGGCCUCGGUCGUCCGGUGUGAGUUAUUCACGCGCGCGCUUGGCGCAGUCGGCCCUUCGAGGUCGUGCACUUCUCCUUUAGUAAUGCAUCGCGACCCGCUCGAUACCGGUCUAAGCCCCGUUCGGGUGCCCGUCGCGCAUUCUAUGCGCGGCGGACCGUGACGGUGGCCGACCGGUUGUCGGGCGGUAUCGGACGCGAAACACGCACGCGCUCGUCGCGUCCGGCCCGACGCAAGGUCGUCGCGAAAUCAGCGCUUCGCCCGAGUGCGAGCGUCCGGUUUCCGGCGCCUGCUUUUCGCAGCCGUGUCGUCUCGGACGUGCGUGUAUCCAGUCAUGCGAUGUUUUUGUUUCGGGCACUCACAGGACCCGUCUUGAAACACGGACCAAGGAGUCUAGCAUGUGCGCGAGUCAAUAGGUUUGCAAAACCGAAAGGCGCAACGAAAGUGAAGGCGAACGCUUGCCGUUCGCUCGGGGAGGAUAACGACGGGCUCUCGAGGCCUCCGUUCGCACUCCCGAGGCGUCCCGUUCGCAAUCUGUCGAUGUGGGCGCGCUCAGAGCGCAGAUGCUGGGACCCGAAAGAUGGUGAACUAUGCCUGGUCAGGUCGAAGUCAGGGGAAACCCUGAUGGAGGACCGUAGCGAUUCUGACGUGCAAAUCGAUCGUCGGAACUGGGUAUAGGGGCGAAAGACUAAUCGAACCAUC